rnacentral:rRNA from 1 species
AUAGGGCAAGCGCGGUAUUGGAUAUCCGCGUCCAAGCAGUUAGGCUGGGAAAUAGGCAAAUCCGUUUCCCGUAAGGCUGAGCUGUGAUGGCGAGCGAAAUAUAGUAGCGAAGUUCCUGAUUCCACACUGCCAAGAAAAGCCUCUAGCGAGGUGAGAGGUGCCCGUACCGCAAACCGACACAGGUAGGCGAGGAGAGAAUCCUAAGGUGAUCGAGAGAACUCUCGUUAAGGAACUCGGCAAAAUGACCCCGUAACUUCGGGAGAAGGGGUGCUCUGUUAGGGUGCAAGCCCGAGAGAGCCGCAGUGAAUAGGCCCAGGCGACUGUUUAGCAAAAACACAGGUCUCUGCGAAGCCGUAAGGCGAAGUAUAGGGGCUGACGCCUGCCCGGUGCUGGAAGGUUAAGAGGAGCGCUUAGCGUAAGCGAAGGUGCGAAUUGAAGCCCCAGUAAACGGCGG